UACGGAGGGUGCAAGCGUUGCUCGGAAUUAUUGGGCGUAAAGGGCAAGUAGGUGGUCUCAUUUGUCUGGGGUGAAAGCCUCGAGCUUAACUCGAGAAGUGCCCUAGAAACGGUGAGACUAGAGUCCUGGAGAGGGUUGUGGAAUUCCCGGUGUAGCGGUGAAAUGCGUAGAGAUCGGGAGGAACACCAGAGGCGAAAGCGGCAACCUGGACAGGCACUGACACUCAACUGCGAAAGCGUGGGGAGCAAACAGG
rnacentral:rRNA from 1 species